rnacentral:rRNA from 1 species
UCGGGAAUUUUGGGCAAUGGGGGAAACCCUGACCCAGCAACGCCGCGUGAAGGAUGAAGUAUCUCGGUAUGUAAACUUCGAAAGAAUAGGAAGAAUAAAUGACGGUACUAUUUAUAAGGUCCGGCUAACUACGUGCCAGCAGCCGCGGUAAUACGUAGGGACCAAGCGUUGUUCGGAUUUACUGGGCGUAAAGGGCGCGUAGGCGGCAUGACAAGUCACUUGUGAAAUCUCUGGGCUUAACCCAGAACGGCCAAGUGAUACUGUCGCGCUAGAGUGCAGAAGGGGCAAUCGGAAUUCUUGGUGUAGCGGUGAAAUGCGUAGAUAUCAAGAGAAACACCUGAGGUGAAGACGGGUUGCUGGGCUGACACUGACGCUGAGGCGCGAAAGCCAGGGGAGCAAACGGGAUUAGAUACCCGCGUAGUCCCUGAGCGGGCUGGCAAGGCGCAU